rnacentral:lncRNA from 1 species
CUUCUCAGAAACAACCGGCCUUGAAGGAUACAAGUGACAAGAACGAUUCUGUUUCGAACACAGCCACAGAAAUAAAAGAUGAACAAAAAUCUGGGACAGUGCUUCCUGCUGUUGAACAGUGUUUAAACAGGAGUCUCUACAGACCGGAUGCUGUUGCACAGCCUGUGACAGAGGAUGAGUUUGCUUUGGAAUCUGAGAUUAUUUCAAAACUAUACAUCCCAAAGAGAAAGAUUAUUUCUCCACGAUCUAUAGAAGAUGUGCUUCCUCCUGUUGAAGAGGCUGUUGACAGGUGUCUCUACCUACUGGACCGUUUUGCACAGGCUGUGACAAAGGAUAAGUUUGCUUUGGAAUCUGAGAAUAUUUCAGAACCAUACUUUACAAACAGAAGGACUAUUUCUCAACAAUCUGCAGAAAAGU